GUCCAGAGACGUAGGAGGGGAUCUCGAGAAGGGCUAAUGCUCUUUUGCUGCGCAACAACUGUCGGCCCCUCGUCCGUUUCAUUUUUUGCCCCACGGUCGAGCUUGCUCUUCUUGGGCACGAUCCCUAGGUUCCCGUGUUGCCUUCCCAUCGCGUGGAAAAAUCCGUCGGAUGGCCACGACCCUUUCCUCCUUGUGGCUUUGCGGCCGCAAUGCGGACCCGGAAAGCAGUCCCCGUGUCCCGGACAUAUCCCUUGACUUCCGUCACGGCUGUCUCGGUCCACAGGACAACUGCUCGCGCUCUCGGAUGUGGAAAAUUAAGCGGACAUUGGGGGUUCUUGGCCUCCGGUCGCUCCGCACAAUCAAGUCCCGCGAUAAGAACGACUCUCGCCGCCUCGUUGACCGCAGGCCGUCCGGGCCUCUGUGGCAUCGAUGCGGGUCCGAAGUCGAGAAUGGAUGCUACCUGGUUGAUCCUGCCAGUAGUCAUAUGCUUGUCUCAAAGAUUAAGCCAUGCAUGUGUAAGUACGCCCG
rnacentral:misc_RNA from 1 species